CUGGUGUCUGCGGCUCUGAGGAACCCGGACUGUAAAAUACAGAGACUGGAGCUGCAAAGUGUCGGUCUCACAGAUUCUGGAGCCGUGGAUCUCGUCUCCGCUCUCAGUACAAACCACACGGUGACGUGGCUGCACCUGAGUCGGAAUAAACUGGGAGAUUCUGGAGUGAAACUGGUGUCUGUGGCUCUGAGGAACCCGGACUGUAAAAUACAGACACUGUGGUUGGACAGUGUCGGUCUCACAGAUUCUGUAGCCGAGGAUCUCGUCUCCGCUCUCAGUACAAACACCUCACUGACGGAGCUUUACCUGCCAGACAACUCCCUCACAGACCGAUGUGUCCCCGCUCUCCGCGAACUCAUACUGACCCUCCCGAGACUGAAGCGGAUCGGGCUGGGGCGGAAUAAGUUCGGUCCAACCGGGAAGAAGGAACUGAGGUCGCUGCAGGAACCCAGACCCGGAGUGACAGUGGACGUGUGAACAUCUCGUGGUGUAAACGUCACCGCCCUGGGGACUGGAAUAUUGUUGGCCGAUUCCCCGCACUCCCUCCCCUUUAAAUGGCCGCCCUCCCUCCCCUUUAUACCCCGACGCUUCCCGGGCGGUGACGUCAGAGGCGGCCCUGCCCGCUGUCACGUGACCUGGGUACUCAGCGCUGCUGAUGCUGAUGAUGAUGCCAGAUAUCCGGUGCUGCCUGCCUGCCAU